ensembl:misc_RNA Y_RNA Y RNA
GGCUGGUCCGACAGUAGUGGGUUAUCAGAACUUAUUAACAUUAGUGUCACUAAAGUUGGUACUCAACCCCCCACUACUAAAUUUGACUGGCUCAAA